AUACUUACCUGGCAGCAGGGGUACUAUGAUCAAGAUGUGAUUUUCCCAGGGCAAGGCUUAUCAUUGCACUUUGGUUGUGCUGACCUCUGUGAUUUCCCCAGACAUAGGAAAAUGGACUAAUUGGUGGUAGUGAGGGACUGAAUUUGCACUCUCUCC
ensembl:snRNA U1 U1 spliceosomal RNA